UAUAGCUAUAAUAAAUUUUAGGGACACUCCUCGUAUCCCAAUCCUCAGUCCACCUGACUCCAACAUGAAGAAGCACAUGAAUCAGAACUCUUAUUCAAUGGGAUUUUGCACAUCAAAACAGAGUUUUAGGUUGAAUCAAUCCCAAUCCAUUUCUGUGCACUAGUGUGGCGUAAGUGGAUUCCUGAUCUCAUUUUCACCUACCAAGUCAACACCUAAACUACCACCAACCCCAACGAGUUGGUUUACAUUGACCCGAAAGUCGUUUCCUUCUCCUAUCAAAUUCCCUUUUCUUGCAUUCACCAAACUCACAUUUCCCUGCACUUUUCUGGGCUUUUGUUCUUAAAUCCCCUCUCUCUUUGUGAUCGUUUUGCUUUCUUGAAAAAUGGAGUCAAGGAUGUUAGGAUUCGCCUCUCCAGGUGUAGUAAGCCCCAGUAAUUCCAAGAUUUCAAGAUUAAGUACCCCUUUUGCCCACCAAAUAUGGAACAAAAAUAGCAGCUUUUGGUGUCAAAAUUCAAGAUUUCCUAAGCAAGGUAUUAAGCCAAUUCAAGCCUCUGCAACUUCCAUUGGGUACAAUCGAAACUCCUUUUUUCCUUUCUGAAUUUCAAAUUGAGCUUUUAGUAUUAUUGGGUAGUUGGAUUCCUCUCAGUCCUGUGAAAUUCUAAAUUGGUUCUGUCUACAUGUUAAUUAUUGUAUUCACUUAGUGCAUGUUUUGUUUCAUGGUAAUGAAAAAUAUUUUAAUUUGAGUUCUUGUUAGGUAGUUAUAGUCUCUCUGCUCUGUGGAAUUUCAAAUUGAUCUUGUCUACACGUUAGUUCUUAUCAUAGUUGGGUACGCAUUUAGUGCAUGUUUAUUCGAGUUGUAAUGUAAAAGAUUUUAGCUUAUUUUCAGUCUUGUGCUAUUGAAUAUUAACGUAAAUGCUUAUUUUGAAAUUGUUUUAU
rnacentral:lncRNA from 1 species